ACUCAGUGAACUGAAACAUCUUAGUAGCUGAAGGAAAAGAAAGCAAAAGCGAUUCCCAAAGUAGCGGCGAGCGAAAUGGGACCAGUCUAAAAGAAACAUGUAUGUUUCUGGUUAUAGGACCAAACACAAAGGUAUAGAAAAUCUUGAGAAACGAAGCAGCUGAAACCUGCGCCAUAGAUGGUGAAAGCCCAGUCGUUGAAUCUUGACUCAAUGCCGUUUGGCUCCCAAGUAGUAUGGGGCACGUGAAAUCCCGUAUGAAUUCGCGAGGACCACCUCGUAAGACUAAAUACUCCUAGGUCACCGAUAGCGAAAAGUACCGCGAGGGAAAGAUGAAAAGAACCCCUUUGAGGGGAGUGAAAUAGAACAUGAAACCGUAUACUUACAAUUGGUAGGAGGAUGAACACAUCUGACUGCAUGCCUGUUGAAGAAUGAUCUGGCGACUUACGGUAAGUGGCAUGGUUAAGAUUUUUCAUCGAAGCCAAAGCGAAAGCAUGUCUGAAUAGGGCACUCGUCCCUUAUCGUAGACCCGAACCCAGGUGAUCUAACCAUGACCAGAAUGAAGCUUUGGUGAUACGAAGUGGAGGUUCGAACCGACCGAUGUUAAAAAAUCGACGGAUGAGUUGUGGUUAGGGGUGAAAUGCCAAUCGAACUUGGAGCUAGCUGGUUCUCCUCGAAAUGCGUUGAGGCGCAGCGGUUAAUUAUGAACUUUUAGGGGGUAAAGCUACUGUUUCGGUGCGGGCUGCGAAAGCGGUACCAAUCUGUUGCAAACUCGGAAUACCUAAAAUGACUUCAAUUAGCCAGUGAGACUAUGGGGGACAAGCUUCAUAGUCAAAAGGGAAACAGCCCAGACCAUCAGUUAAGGCUCCUAAAUAAAAGCUAAGUGGUAAAGGAGGUGAAAACGCAGUGACAAUCAGGAGGUUUGCCUAGAAGCAGCCACCCUUUAAAGAGUGCGUAAUAGCUCACUGAUCAAGCGUUUUUGCGCCGAAAAUUUCCGGAACUAAGUUUUUUGCCGAAGCUAUGGAUAUAUUACUAACAUAAUAUGUGGUAGAGGAGCGUUCCGCCCAGGGAGAAGCCAAGCGCGUAAGCCGCGGUGGACAGGGCGGAAGUGAGAAUGUCAGAUUGAGUAACGAAAACACUAGUGAGAAUCUAGUGCCCCGAAAACGUAAGGGUUCCUCUGCAAGGCUCGUCCUCAGAGGGUCAGUCAGGACCUAAGGUGAGGCCGAAAGGCGUAAUCGAUGGAAAGAAGGCUUAUAUUCCUUCACUAUUACUUUAUUA
rnacentral:rRNA from 1 species